AUGAUUAUUACUGAGUCUUUUCGAGUUUAAAUGAGUUGAAUAUGAGUGUAUGAUGUAAAGAUCCUAGUAAGAAUCAAUUUAUAAAGCUAGCUUAUACAGUUGUAUAUUUGGACAAUUCUGUCGAUACCUAUUGUGGGUAAUAGGAAGGAAGAACUACCUCGUUGGUCGAGUGGUCGCAAGUGCAACUGCCGGGCAAGAGGUCUCUGAUUCGAUUCUCGGGUCAAGCAAAGUAUUGCUGGGCUUUUUUCGGUUUUUCGAAAAUUUGUCAGUAGUAAGUAUAUGGCAAAAGGCUCACUACCUAUUACAUGGGACUUAUAACACAAAUGGUGAAGAGUACAUUUGUACAGUGGCAUUACGGGCCGUUAUGUGCACCUCUGCCUACCCCUUCUGGGAUAAAGUCGUGACGAUACGAGGAAAGAAUAUAUAAGCACUGUUUUUUUAAUAAAAAAGUGACAAAAUAUCAGCCAAACAGUUAUUUUCGACUGUUAGAGAAAAUUUUAAUUUGAAAAAAAAAUCUAAAAGUUAGCUGUUUUCUGUUUCGUCUUCAGUGUAGUAAAAAUUUUUGCAGACAUAUCGCUAGAAUCUUAUAUUUAAGAUAUUAUUAUUAUAUAUAUAUAUAACACAUAUAUAUAUAAUGACUAUACUAUAAUCUAAAAAACUAUUCUACACGAUGAAAAAAUAUAUAUAAUUUUAGCUUAAAGACUUUUCACACUUAUUCUAUCUUUUUCUUUUAUCUUUAGUGUUUCGUUGGUCUGUAAAGAGGUUACAUGUUCGAUUCUUGGGCAAAGUAUACUAUAUAAAGUUUUAAACUGACAUGGUCACUAACACUAUCAUUAGAACUUAAGACGGGAUAUUUACCAUGUUUAUUUAUGUCUAUGAGUUCAUAUAGCAGUUCAUCCGUGAUCAUGGCGCUUGCAACAGUGCCGAAAUAUCGGAAACUCAUAGACAUAAAUAAACAUGGUAAAUAUCCCGUCUUAAGUUCUAAAGAAAGUAUACUAUAGUUUUUCCAAUUUGGAAAUUACUUAGUAUACUUAAAGAUAGUAUGGGAUUGUGUCUAUUACAUGGAUCUGCAUUUAACAUAACAGCCCUCUUCAAAAUCGAUUAUAAUCCGAAUACUCAAACGCUACUCAAUUUUAAGACGCUCUCAAAACUAGUUCUGUCCCUAUCAAUUCUUUAUAAAAUGACAGAGAUAGCACGAUACUUAAGUACAACUUAAAAUUGAGUAGCAUUUUAGUAUUCGGGCGUAUGUUACCUAACUUAAUUAAAAAUACCUCUUUACCAACGAAAUCUCAAACUAUCGCUCGCUUCUCUAUCCUAAACUGUUAUCUAAACCUCUUGGCCUUAUAAUAUAUAUAAAUCCAACACCAAUAUAUAAAAAGUCCUUUAAAUAUAAGCUCUUGUGUGUUAAGAAUAAGGUAUAAAAUGAAACUGUCUUGAUACAGCACUUACUUCGUUUCCGAAAUGAGUAUACCAUAUCCAGUAAAUGAAAUAUUAAUUUUUAGAUCGUAGUCUGUAUAUAACUAUACCUAUAUAUUAUGUAAACAUACAACCGAUAUGACAUGAGAAGGCAAAAGGCAUAUAACAUAAAAUGAAGGAAAAAAUAAUCAGCGAAACUGAUUUUCAAUUGAAAAAAGACAAUUUUUCAAAUAAUUAUUAUAUACUUUGAAAAAAAUAUACGAAAAUGAAAUGCGUAGAUGAUAAGUUGCGUUGUAGGGGAAAUUUGGAUUGGUUGUCUAGAGUAUUUGUGGCGAAAUAUCGCGAAGGAAACUAAGUAAAUUUUUUGACUCUGUAUUUCAUAGUCGAUCAAAACUAGGGAAGGCAUUGCCUUAGGUGGGUUUCGGCUCUAUAGGCUCCGAAUCCAUUAGCAUUGCUUACCGACAAUCAAACCCAGUUUCCCCUAAUAAUUUGAGAUAAACAUGCUUAUAUUAUUAGUUAUUAGUGACACAAAUAUAAUCGUAUCUAGACUAGGAACGUAUAUUAUAUUGUAGUGUUUAAACAAUAAGUGUGAAAAAUCUUUGGGAAAAGGAAUCAUUGCGUCAAUUUGGACAUUCAGUCAAUCAAGGCAUGGUAUAUAUUAGGGUAUAUAAGAAUGAUUUUUAAACAGCAUAUAGUGUGGAUUGAUUGGUCAGAUGAGCGAGGUCGACUUGUCAACGACACACGUACUUAGGUAUCGUCGUGUAAUCAGCUCAUGUAGUGUAUUGUCCAGUCAACUGAUGGUAGCGAGGUUGACUCGUCAACGACACACGUACUUAGGUAUCGUCAUGAGCUAAUGUUCACAUGUAAUCAGCUCAUGUAGUGUAUUGUCCAGUCAACUGAUGGUAGCGAGGAGUGGUUUAUAUACCAACAGAAUUUUGAUAUGCUAACAAUAAUUGUCAAGUAUAUAAUUUGGCAGUUAUAUAUGUGAAUUUCAUUGUUAUAUACCCUAUAUAUACGUGAGGUUCAACCUCUAUAUCAAGUAUAUGUAUCUAGCUAGUCAAAUUUAGAUUGUAAGUAAUAUUUAUAUACUAGUGAACAUAUAUUAUGCCUAAGUGCUUAAUAGUAAUAUACCCAUAUAUAUUUAACCGCCAACCGCAAUGGUUGCAGCCUUUUCGAAAUAAAAAAUAAAAAACUUCCUUCAACACUUAUAAUCAUAAAUAUAAAACUAAAAUUAAGGCUUCGCUCUACAUAAGAUACUUAGAUAGGUAAAAAAAUGCAAAAUAUAUAUUAUAAUGAUAAUUAUUAAAACAACAAAAAAGGUAAUUUAGAUAGGAUAUUGCAAUUAUUUUUCGUGUUUUUUUUUAGUUAUAGUUUUGUGUUUGUUUUUAGUUUUGAAUUUUUAGUUUCGUGUUUUUAGUUUUUAGUUUUUGAUCCUUGAAUAAGUAUUGUUGUAAGCUCCCGAGAACACCAAAUAUUGUAAUCCUUAAUAUAUAAUGUAGAAUUCGAUAUAUAUGUAUGUAAUAUAUAUAAAAUUUCGAACUUUUAACUAAAUAGGAUGCCUUACUUUGUAAUAUUGUUUUUAGACACAAUUUAUUUAAGAUUGGUGUGUUUAUAAGUAAAAAUAAUAAUAAUUCAUUUUGAAAAAAAGAGAGAGAAUACAUUAAAAUACUGAUUAGAUUUUUUAUGUCAAAAAUUUUAAUUUAAGUAAUCGAAAAAAUCAUUACAUUCAUACGACGAAAAUAAUUUCAUUUUUUUUAGUUUUAGUUUUGAUAAAAAACAAAUAGUCACACCAAUCUUAAGGAGGCGAGUGCCAAAAAAAGUUUUUUACACUUCUCGUUUUUUUUAUUUUUAGUUUUAGUUUCAACAUGUUUUUCGCGAUUUUUUACAUCCGUCUAUUUCAAAUAAAUUAUAACACCAAGAAGCAGACUAAAUGUAAUCCUGUAAGGAGGUCUUAAAAUACACGUUUUUCAUAAAUUUUAAAUGUGUAUUUCAAAUUUUAUAUGACAAAUAUUUUGUUUUUAUUCUGAAAUAUUGAAAUAUACAUAUCUUAAAUAACUUAGCUGUGCUAGAAAGAGUAAAUAGACUUCUUCUCUCUGUCCUUUUCUUUUGUAAAUGUCGUGAGUAGCUGUUUCAUUUUUGUCGUGUGUCGUGAAAAUAGAAAAAAUGAUACAAAGUAUCUUUAAAAUGCAAUACAGAUUAUUCCCAUAAAAUAUUUGUGUAUAAAAUUAAAAUAUACAUGUAAAUCUGUGAGAAAAUUAUAGAAUAGACAAUGAAUAUGUGUUAUUCAGUGUUUUUUAGUUAUUAUUGUCCUAUAAAUGCAAUCAGACGUUUGCAAAAUGUAUUCAAAUAAUUUUAAAAAACGUAUUUAGGAUAGAUUUUCCGAAUUCACAAUCCUAUGGAAGUGAGAAGCUUGUUGUAUUUAGUAUUAAGUCAUAAAAUUAGAAUAUUUGGAAAAUCUAUACCUAUUUCGUAAGGCACAGACGUUUUAUCUACCGUUGUCAAAAUAGGGAUGAUGACGGGGUAUGAAAAUUAAAAAUCUAUUUAGUCCGUCAGUUAGGUAAUGAACAAAUAUUAGACAUGUAUUUUUUUAUUUUGUCAUAUAAGAUAACAAUACUUAGAUAAAGCGAAUCAAAGUUUAGGACUGAGGAGCAACAUUUCUACGUACAAAACGAUAUUUGAAAUCAAUACACCUCCGAAAGUAUUAAUUGUUUCCGUUAGAAAAUAAAAAAUACGUGUCUAAUGUUUUAAAAUAAUCUUCAAGACGGACAUUGCAAUAAAAAUCAGUCAUCUACCCUAUUCAAAAAUACAAUACAAAAAAUGUCUUGAGAUUUAACGAACGAUACAAUUCUUGAAACACCUAUAAUGCUGGGGCCACACUAAUGGAAUAUGCCAUUGAUUUUCAAAACAAAUGAACGAUUAUGAACUUUAAAUGUUCGUACAAACAUCAAUUAUCGCCAUAAUCAAAUGGCAUAUUCCAUUAGUGUGGCCCUAGCAUAAUAAAAAGAAAUAUCGAUCAUAAAAUACACUACAAAAAAUAUAAUUUUGCAACGUCUGAAUGCAUUUACGUAGCGUUUCUAUUUAUUUCAUAGAAUGAGCUAGAUUUUUGAUGUUUUAUAGUAAAAAUGUCCCAGUAAAGGCUAGAAAGGUGUGUCUAUACACAGCGGCUACGGAUGACAUGAGAAAUGAUAUAUACAUAUUUUUUGAAAUGUAUAAAAUAAAUAAAUACUAUGAACUGUCUCUUAAUUUGUCUUCGGAUUGAGCCAGCAAAAAUGAAAUAAGAUCAUGCAUUUUUUGCUGUAAAAGACAAGGUUAAUGUUGUAGGAAAAUCACGUUAAAUGAUUUUUCUUUGGCUGAUGUAGCGACGGUUGACUCGUCAACGACACACGUACUUAGGUAUCGUCAUGAGCUAAUGUUCACAUGUAAUCAGCUCAUGUAGUGUAUUGUCUAGUCAACUGAUGGUAGCGAGGUUGACUUGUCAACGACACGCGUUCGUAUGAGCUACGCACAUUGUAAUCAGUGACUCGUAUAGUGUAUAGAUUGUCCAGUCGACUAAUAGUAGCGAGGUUGACUACUCAGGUUGUGACCACUCAUAUUUGAAACCCAUAGCUAGAGUUGAGUCUGAUUUUAAGGAAAAACGUUAUAUUAAUGCUUUUGCUGGCUCGAACCAUUUUUAAACGUUUUGGUGUUAAAAAUCUCGUGAUUUGGUGUCGUAGAAAUUCUUUUGGAAAAACAUAUUUAGCAAUAUCUUAUAUUAAUCUGUAUUUUGUGGUGAAAAUCGAUUGUUUUUUUCUCAGUUUUUUUUUUCAAAUACAGUGAACUGAUUCUAUGAGAAUUCGUUGCUGCUCAGUUUAUCUAUCUACAGUUUUUGUAAACGUAUAUUUUAUAAAUGUACGAGGUAUUUUUUUGUGUUAACAAUUUUGUGUAAUUAAAUAAUAAUAUAAUAAAAUACAAACUAUAAGAGCCAAAUCAACUGGUAUCCGAAAGCAUGGUAAUUUUAGUUAAUUUUGUAAUUUUAGUUUACAAACUAAAACAUCGAUUUUUACCAACAAAAUAAAAUUUAAAAUAAUUAAAUGAACAGCAAUAAUAACGCAAUAGGUGUUAAAAGUAGAUUUUUUAUUUUUGGUACUGCUAGUAACGACUUCUUAAUGUUUUUUAGUUUGUCUAACUUUUCAUGUUCAUUGAGAUAAGGAUAAACUAAAUCUAAAAAAUAAUUUAAAAAGUACUUUAUAUAGCACAUUUCUUUUUCUUUCUCCCCUUAUUUCUACCGUCCAUGGAUGUCGUGCUAGAAAUAGUAUUUUCAUUUAUUUGAAAAAAAAUGACACAAGAGCUCAAAUUUUCAUUUUUCAAUUUUAGUUUUAAAAUCGAAAAUAAAAAUCUAGUGUUUUUAUCCAAACGCACACGUUUUAAUCUUCGGUAGUGACGAGUAAUUGAGCUUUCUUUUAGUUUGUUAAACGACUCGAUUUUUCUUGUAAAACGUUUAAUUUUAGAUUUUUAGUUUUAUUUUACUAAGAAAAAAAAAUGAAA